AGUGGGAAAGGGGACCUGUUUGACCUUAAGCCUUCUUUCCCUCCUACAGCCUGGGCUGCAGAUGAGGUGGCUGAAGCUUGACAGCUAUCUUAGAUCACAAGAUUCUUCAGCACCUGCUCUGAUGGGUUCUUUGAAAAAUUCAUCUCUUGAAUAAUGAAACAACGGCCUGAGGGAGGAACGUGGAAAUAGACGGUUUACAGCCAAAGCCCAGAAGGAAGCUGUGGACUUCUUGAAUCUCCCGAGGACCCGUGGGUCUUCACUCUGAAAGGAAGGAUUGUCCACCCGGCUCAGCAUCUCAUCUCUACAACCGGAGGUUGAAGUCCCUAAUGCUGACCUUUAAAUAGCGGAUGUGUGGAUCGUUCCAACAUGGCUGGACUCUGAAAGAUGGCUUUCAUCCUGUCCAGGAUACGAGAUUGCACCCACGCUUUAUCCAGCAUGAAGGAGCAGAGCACUUCCUGGGAGAAGACAGACCUUGGCUUUGUGAGCGGGACACGUGGAAACGGGAGCUUUGUCGGGUGGGUCUGAGGGACAUGGCAGGCCAGCCACCUGAACAGUGAACUUGAGUGAUUGCAUAUACUAAUGAUGGUUACAACAGUGCUCUGUAGCUACUUCCUGUUUUGUUACCACCAUGCAAGAGGCUCAGCCUCUCUGGGUUCUGGGCAGCUUGUGGCUUCCACAGUGAGCAUUCCAAGAAGGAAACUAGCUUCUGGAGUUGAGCCCUGACUUCUCUUUGUCCCUGCAGGUGAGGUGACUCAAAGUCUCCUUUCAACACCUAUUCUUCAUUCUCUUGCUGGGGGCCUGGAGGUUUAUUGGCCUGUCCCACCAAGACACCCGGGAUGGUCACAUAGAAUAGUUACACAUUCCCCCGACAGGUCUUCUAGCUCUGUCAUUCUCGUUCAAGCCCUGCGUUCUCUACAUUUGAUCCAGGAAGGCAUUGCCUGUCUAUAGGCAUCAGAUGCUGUAGUGGGCUGACCCUUUCUCAGCUGGUUGGGUCAUUUGUGACUGGGCCACUGUUUCUAGUCAUUGGUAGUUUUUCAUCUCAAUCCCCUUCAACCUCUUCUCUGUCUUGAGACUGAUCCCAUGGUCUUGGAAAUCUCCGAGCCAAUGGUGGGUCAGCAUUCCAGCCCCCCCCAUCUCCGCCCCCUGUCCCCUAAGAAUUCCAUGGACUGACCAUGUAUGGGUUUAUCAGAGGGCCCAGCAGAAUUCAGCCUGGGUCCCCAGUCCACAGCACAUGUAUUUUUAGAUUCCUUCCUUGCUUGCUCUAUUCCCCCACUCCCUCUCUUGGGCUUCCAGGAGGUGCCUCCAGAAUGAGCCACUUGCACCAGUGACCUUAUAUUGAGAUCUGUUCUGUCUAUUAGUAGGGGCUCUCUAGAGGAACAGAAGUAAUAGGCUGAAUAUAUAUCAAGAGGGGGUUUAUUAGAUUGGCUUCCAUGAUAUAGUAUAGUCCAACAAUGGCUGUCAUCAUAUCAGAGGCUGAGAACCAGUGGUUGUUCUGUCCUCGAGGCUGGAUGCCCCAGCAGUUCUUAUCUGGUAUUGGAGGCCUGGUGAGUUCCUCGAGAGCCCCUGGUCUUCCAUAGUGGAAGGCUGAGGAAGUGGAGUUCCCGAGUCAGCUGAGGAUGGUGGUGGUGGUGGCGGCGGCGGCAGCGGCAGUAGCAGCAGCAGGGUAGACGCAUCCACAGUGAGGUCUGUCUUUCCACUGUGGGUCCCAGGGAUCAGAUGUCAGUCAUCAGUCUUUAUAGUAGGUGCUUUUACACUCUGACCCAUCUCACUGACCCCAACGUUAAUUCUUUAUGAAAAAGAAACAAUAUAAAAUGUACUCGAGUCUCCAAACAGACUCGACGUAUGCAUGUCAAAGAAUUCUUUUAAAUAAAUGUAUUGGUGAUUUUUACCAGUAAAUUUUUAUUUGAAUAUUUUAUAUAUUACCUAUGCAAAAAUAAAUUUCUUGUGUUAAAAAAAAUAGUCACAGCUGGAAAAAGUACAAGAAACUCUAGCUUAAAUCUUCACCAGUUUCCUUCGCCAAGACAUGUCGUGCCGUCCAGGAUAUUCAGUGCACAGAAUAAAAUCAAGGAGAACGUU
rnacentral:lncRNA from 1 species